AUUGAACGCUGGCGGCAUGCUUUACACAUGCAAGUCGAACGGUAACAGGCCGCAAGGUGCUGACGAGUGGCGAACGGGUGAGUAAUGCAUCGGAACGUGCCCAGUCGUGGGGGAUAACGCAGCGAAAGCUGUGCUAAUACCGCAUACGAUCUGUGGAUGAAAGCGGGGGACCUUCGGGCCUCGCGCGAUUGGAGCGGCCGAUGUCAGAUUAGGUAGUUGGUGGGGUAAAGGCUCACCAAGCCAACGAUCUGUAGCUGGUCUGAGAGGACGACCAGCCACACUGGGACUGUGACACGGCCCAGACUCCUACGGGAGGCAGCAGUGGGGAAUUUUGGACAAUGGCGCAAGCCUGAUCCAGCAAUGCCGCGUGCAGGAAGAAGGCCUUCGGGUUGUAAACUGCUUUUGUACGGAGCGAAAAGGCUCCCUCUAAUACAGGGGGCUCAUGACGGUACCGUAAGAAUAAGCACCGGCUAACUACGUGCCAGCAGCCGCCGUAACAC
rnacentral:rRNA from 1 species